UUAAGAAACUUGUGCCCAGCGGAUGUUUAGGGUCCAUCUGGGCUGAACAACCAGAUCGGGCAUCAACCGUCUGGGCUAUCAUUGCACAGUUUAAUAACGUUAAGAGUUGUGUCACCAGCACCAUAGGUCGGCCUCAGCAGCUAAAACCACGGCAGAGGGCUAAAAUCAUUGAGAAGUGGAUUGAUGUUGCCAAGGAGCACAAAGACAACAUUUGAAGAUCUUUCAAAUCUAUUCUCCAAAGAUGACAACAUCAUGACAAGUAGCCAUCGAGAAACAGGAUGGAGCUUCAAAAUUUGCCACCCUCAACAGCACCUUGAAAGAGAACAAAAUACUGACACACAAAACACUGAAAGUAACGAAGAAGAAGAAUGGUUUGAUCAACUUUGACAAGAGACGAAAGGAAUAUGAAAUAAUUUCGCGUCUUAAAUACAUGCAGUUUGCUUGUCAAUGUUACAUCAUUCGUCCAGACGAGAAGUUUCUGGACUUGUUCUUCACGCAACUAUACUUCAGUAGAGAAUAACAAUUGCAGUAUUUCCUCUGAACUGGAGAAACCAGCAAAGCCCAAAAAGAGCGUGUUUAAGCACCUCAGCUGGAGAGAUGUUAAAGCGAACAGCACACCAACUAAAAGCUCUCAGCAGCCAACAUCCCGUGAGAGUGACGAUUGUGAAGAAAGCAUAACUUCAGCCAGAAUUUCAGGAGAUUGCAGCAACUUGGAAAUGCAAGAGCACAGCACUUCGCAAAAUCCACCGGAAAAGGUGACUAACCAAAACCGGGUAUCGGACAUCUUCACGAAAGCAAUGGCCGUGCUCGGAUUUGAAACCGACCGUCCUCAGGAUUAUGAUCUUGCGCAGAUCAUAGAAUCAAAGAAAGCUGAGAGACAAGAAAUAUGGGUGCGGGCACUGCAGCCAAAAUGCUAAUCUGCAGCAACCCUCCCCUCACCAUUUCCUGGUGAAAAGUAGAAAUGAGGACUCAGAUGUUUCAUUCUGCUGUGGUUUAAAACAUGCGAUCCAGACUGUGGUAAACAGAAUGUCUUAUUAGGAUAAAGAGUCCCAAUGCGUCUGCAGCAUGCAAUUUCUGUCAAUUUUCUGAGAAAAGCAAAAUCAAUCCACUGGCUGCAAGUGUCACUGACAAAGCUGACUUUUAUUGUGCAUCUAUCAUUGCCCUCAGAAAAUGGUCAUACGCUGGAUCACUGACUUGUGUUUGUUUUCGGUGUCCCCAAUGGUGUUCGCUUGAAGAUUCCGAUUCAAUGCUGAAGGAAAUGAUUGCUUUUCUCAGUGUUUUUGCACUGAUCACACUGCAACUUUCUGUGUUUGAUGCUGGUAUCAGCAGAAGUGACCAUGUAGCUGCUGGAUCAUUCAUGAACCAUUUGGGGUUUUGCAUUGUUCUUUAGGAAGGAGAAUCUGACAUCUUUACCUGGGCUAGUGUGUGCUUGGCUGACUCUUCACUGGCCUCAGAUGUGGCCGAACAAAGCUAAUCAAUUGUACAAAGUGUCAUGAAAAAGGCAUGUGCCAUCAGGCGUCUGGGGAUAUGAAAUGAAUUUGAGUCUUGACCAACAAUGCUGAUCCUGAGAAUGGGUCUAAAAUAUAAUGAUUUUCAUUGAUUUUACCUCGGAAUGGUGUAACUCCAAAAUGUUCUUUUGUGUUUUGUAAUAUGCUUUGAAUCCUUGCAAGAAAUUAGUUCUGUUCCUCACAGCCAUUGAUAUUUCUAUAUCCAGGAAGCAGUUGGGCCUGUGUACAAUCAAUAUUAUGAAAGCGCAUGUGAAUAAUAUUGUGCUUGUCCUCUGUUUUUUUCAGUGCUUGUACUUCCGGGAAAUGCAAAUGUGUAUUACGCAAUGAAUAAAAGCGUAAAUUAUAAUUUCAU